UGAUUUGUGAUGUAAUGGGUUAGCAUAAGAGACUUUGACUCUCUUUGUUCAGGUUCGAAUCCUGACAAAUCAACAA
rnacentral:tRNA from 1 species